AACAUGACCAAUUGUUGCCUCGGCGGAUCAGCCCGCUCCCGGAAAACGGGACGGCCCGCCAGAGGACCCCUAAACUCUGUUUCUAUAUGUAACUUCUGAGUAAAACCAUAAAUAAAUCAAAACUUUCAACAACGGAUCUCUUGGUUCUGGCAUCGAUGAAGAACGCAGCAAAAUGCGAUAAGUAAUGUGAAUUGCAGAAUUCAGUGAAUCAUCGAAUCUUUGAACGCACAUUGCGCCCGCCAGUAUUCUGGCGGGCAUGCCUGUUCGAGCGUCAUUUCAACCCUCAAGCCCCCGGGUUUGGUGUUGGGGAUCGGCGAGCCCUUGCGGCAAGCCGGCCCCGAAAUCUAGUGGCGGUCUCGCUGCAGCUUCCAUUGCGUAGUAGUAAAACCCUCGCAACUGGUACGCGGCGCGGCCAAGCCGUUAAACCCCCAACUUCUGAAUGUUGACCUCGGAUCAGGUAGGAAUACCCGCUGAACUUAAGCAUAUCAAUAAGCGGAGGAA
rnacentral:rRNA from 1 species